rnacentral:rRNA from 1 species
GAGCGCCGUAGCAAUACGGAGCGGCAGACGGGAGAGUAACACGUGGGAACGUGCCCUUCAGUUCGGAACAACCCCAGGGAAACUUGGGCUAAUACCGGAUACGUCCGUAAGGAGAAAGAUUUAUCGCUGAAGGAUCGGCCCGCGUCUGAUUAGCUAGUUGGUGAGGUAAUGGCUCACCAAGGCAACGAUCAGUAGCCGGUCUGAGAGGACGGUCGGCCACACUGGAACUGAGACACGGUCCAGACUCCUACGGGAGGCAGCAGUGGGGAAUUUUUCGCAAUGGGGGCAACCCUGACGAAGCAACGCCGCGUGGGUGAUGAAGUAUCUCGGUACGUAAAACCCUUUCGACAGGGAAGAAACCGCAAGGUUGACGGUACCCGUAGAAGAAGCCCCGGCUAACUCCGUG